rnacentral:rRNA from 1 species
GAUGAACGCUGGCGGCGUGCCUAAUACAUGCAAGUCGAGCGAACAGACGGGGAGCUUGCUCCUCUGACGUUAGCGGCGGACGGGUGAGUAACACGUGUAUAACCUACCUAUAAGACUGGGAUAACUUCGGGAAACCGGAGCUAAUACCGGAUAAUAUAUUGAACCGCAUGGUUCAAUAGUGAAAUACGGUUUUGCUGUCACUUAUAGAUGGAUCCGCGCCGCAUUAGCUAGUUGGUAAGGUAACGGCUUACCAAGGCAACGAUGCGUAGCCGACCUGAGAGGGUGAUCGGCCACACUGGAAGUGAGACACGGUCCAGACUCCUACGGGAGGCAGCAGUAGGGAAUCUUCCGCAAUGAGCGAAAGCCUGACGGAGCAACGCCGCGUGAGUGAUGAAGGUCUUCGGAUCGUAAAACUCUGUUAUUAGGGAAGAACAAAUGUGUAAGUAACUAUGCACGUCUUGACGGUACCUAAUCAGAAAGCCACGGCUAACUACGUG